rnacentral:rRNA from 1 species
GACGAACGCUGGCGGCGUGCUUAACACAUGCAAGUCGAACGGACAGGCCCUGCUUUUGUGGGGUGCUCGAGUGGCGAACGGGUGAGUAACACGUGAGUAACCUGCCCUUGACUUUGGGAUAACUUCAGGAAACUGGGGCUAAUACCGGAUAGGAGCUCCUGCUGCAUGGUGGGGGUUGGAAAGUUUCGGCGGUUGGGGAUGGACUCGCGGCUUAUCAGCUUGUUGGUGGGGUAGUGGCUUACCAAGGCUUUGACGGGUAGCCGGCCUGAGAGGGUGACCGGCCACAUUGGGACUGAGAUACGGCCCAGACGCCUACGGGAGGCAGAAGGGGGGAAUAUUGCGCAAUGGGCGGAAGCCUGAUGCAGCAACGCCGCGUGCGGGAUGACGGCCUUCGGGUUGUAAACCGCUGUCGCCUGUGACGAAGCGUGAGUGACGGUAAUGGGUAAAGAAGCACCGGCUAACUACGUG